CCUGGACGACAGAGCGAAACUCUGCCUCAAAAAACAAAAAAACAAAUAUAAUGUGGAUAUAAACAUGUAAGAUGUAGUGGGUAUAAGUGUUUGACUUUUCUUCCUUCUUCUUUUCACUUAUUGAACAAAUGAUACUGGAGACAGCAAGAAAUUAUUUCGGCAGAUAGCGAAGGCAAACGAGGCCUCGGCAGAACUUCCCUUCUAACAGAAAGCAGCCAAAGUAAUCAUUUCUUUUCUAACAAAAGGCAGCCUGAAAGAUCAAGCUGAAAACAUAGGUGUACAAUGAGAAAAAGGGCAACAUGGAGAAGCUCAGGAAGAGAACCCACCUGCAUAACAAAAGAUUAGGGUGGGGGCUGCAAGUGAUUCGCACCCUUUGCAGAUGAAACACUUGGUCCGAACCGGGUUUUUGUGCCCUGUGUAAGUCAGACACCACCUCCCCACUAGCUCAUCUAUAAAACCCCUGCUGCAUUUCACCACAGAUUGGCAACCCAUUUUUCCAAAACCCCUCUCUAUAGCAGAGAGCUAUUUAUUCUCUUUCUUUUGUCUAUUUCAUUUCCUCUCUUAACCUCACUUUUUGUGUGUCCGCAUCCUUGAUCUCCACCGUCAUGAGACAAUGAACCUCAGUGUCACCCCAGACAACAAGACCACUUCACAAAUAAGUGUUAAGAGUCUACUAUGUGCCAGACACUGUUUUGUGUACUGGCAAUAUAGCAGUGAACCAAGCAGGCAAAGCCUCCAUUCUCAUGGCACUUACAGAUGAGCUGGGAAAACACAGGCAAUAAACAAUUAAGUAGACUCACAAUGAGCAUACAUAUGAGUGAUUUGGGUUUAUUCAAUGUAUAUCUACUCAUUGUAUAUAUAUUGAUCUGCUUAUUGUCUAUAUCUUUCCAGCUAAAAUGUAAGCAUACUGUAUAUAUGUAAGCAUAUAUAGAUACCACAUAUAAAUAUAUACACACAUAUUGAUAUAUAUGUGUGUAUAUGUAUGUGUGUGUAUAUAUGUAUAUACAUACAUAUAUGAAAUAAUUGCUAUGGUAUAAAAUAAAGCAGAGAAAAAGUUACAGGUUGUGCUAGGCUAGGUGUGAAAAAUAUUAUUCCUAAAUAUAGGAGGUCAAGGAGGAUCUUACUAUUUCAAUUAGAAGAUGACUUUUAACAGAACUGUAAAAGUUGCAUGUAUUUCCAAGUGAAGGAUGGUCCAGAUCGAGGGGCCUGCAAAUGAGUUGAGAAAAUUCUUGGAAGAGCACAGAGGACAAUGCAGCUGGAGAAGAUGGGCCAAAUGGAGAGCAGUAGGAGACAAGCUCAGGGAGUCAGCAGGGGCCAGAUCCCCCAGGUCCUCCUGGCCCCUGUAAAAUGAGAAGCCCCUGGGAGCUUUGAGUGGAGGAGUGACAUAAUCUGACUUAAAUUUUGAAAGGAUCACUCAGUAUGUUGUGUAAAGAAUAGAAUAUAAAGAGCAAGGAUGAAAUCAGGAAAAACAAAAAACUGUUAGGAGGUACUGCAGUUAGCCAGGAGAGCCAUGAGAGUCGUGACAGUGGUAAAUAUUAACAACUGCUCAGGUUCUGGAGAUAUUCUGAAGGUAAAAUAGUUAAGAUUUGCUGACAGAUUGGAUAUGGGUUGAGAAGAAAGAGAAAUGCAAAGGAUAAUAUCAAGAUUUUUUCCUGAGAAAUGGAAGGGUGGAAUUGCCAUGUACUGUGGUGUCAAAGAUUAUGGCAAAAGCAGAUUUGGAAGAGAUGAGAUUAGGAGGUGAUUUUGGCCAUGAUGAAUUUGAGAUGCCUACCAAACAUCCAAAUGGAGGUGUCAAGUAGGCAGGUGUAUACGCACAUCUGGUGUUUGGAGGAGGGGUCUGAGCUGGAGGUAUAAAUAUAGUAGUUAUCAGUGUGUGGAUGGUAUUUCAACAUUUUUAUCUAGUAAGAUCAAUUGAAGAGUAAGUUUAAUAAAGAGAAAAGAUACAGGGACUGAGUCUUGGGUCACUCUGUUACACGUAUUGAAGACAGUAAUAAACCAGGAAAGUGAGGUUGAAAUAGGAGGACAACCAGGAGACAGUGACUUUCUGAAAGACAAGUGAAGAAAGCAUUUUCAAGAAAAUGAGGGGAUCAACUGUGUCAAAUACCAUUAAGUAGGUCAAGAAGGAAGCUGAGAAUGGUUCUCAGAUUUAGUAAAUGAAGGUAUGUAGUGACCUUGAUCAAAGUUGUUUUGGUGAAGACCAGAUUGGGAAGAGUUCCAAAGAGAAAGUGAGAUAAAUUAAAAACAGAGCUUCCUGUAAAGGAGACAACAGAAAUGAUAUAAAUGUGAGUUCAGGAGGUGGAAGAUAUUUUAUUUUUCAGCAUACUCCUGGAUGACAGGAAUGAGUCAGUAGAGACGGGAUACAAGAGAAAGGAAAUACCCUGAAAUGACAUCCUUGAAUAAGGAGAGAAGGCAUUUAGGAAACAAGUAGAGGAAAUGAUCUUGGAUCUUGGAUUUGCUAAAGGAUGAUGAAAUAUGUAAGUUCAGAAACCAGUAGAUUGGUAUAGAUGAUGGUGUACGUGAGGAAGUUCUCUUGUAAUUGGUUCUAUCUUCAUUAAAGUCAGAAUAGUUAUUAGCUGAGAGUGAGGAAGGGGGAAUAUUGGAGGUAAAGGAAGAGAAGAAUUAGACAGUUAUUUAAGAUAUUGGGAAAGUGGAUGGAUUAUGGAAAUAUUGCUGGAUUGUCAGGUGGCUUAAUUGCCCAUUUGAGAUUAGGUCAUGUUAUGUGAAACAAGUUAAUAUGCUUGUAUAUUUUUCACAAGCCAUUUCAACUAUUCAAAGUACAGGAAUAAAAUAGAAAAAAAUGUUAGAUUUAACAACAAAUUGAGAUUUUGCUAAGUGAGGACAGCCAUACAUUUUACUGCACUUUCUUUUAUUAUGCUUCACAGAUAUUGCAUUUUUUACACAUUGAAGGUUUGUGCCUGCAUCAAGCAAGUCUACUGACACCAUUUUUUUUUUCAACAGCAUAUCCCCACUUUGUAUCUUUGUCACAUUUUGAUAAUUAUUGCAAGUUUUCAAUUUUUAAGUUAUUAUUAUAUCUGUUAUGGUGAUCUGUGAUCAGUGAUCUUUGAUGUUACUAUUGUAAUUAUUUUGGGGAACAAUAAACUGCACCCAUAUAAGACGGUGAACUUAAUUGAUAAAUGUUGUAUGUUUUAUGACCACUUCAACCACUGGCCAUUCCCCUCCUUCUCUCUCCUCAGGCCUUCCUAUUCCCUGAGAUCCAACAAUAUUGGAACAAGAAUAAUUAAUAACCCUGCAAUGGCCUAUAAAUGUUCAAGUAAAAGGAAGAGUCGUAUACCUCACACUUUAAAUCAAAAGCUAGAAAUGAUUAUGCUUUGUGAGGAAGGCAUGUCAAAAGCCUAGAUUUGAUAAAAGCUGUAUAUAUUUGUCCAUUCUCACGCUGCUAAUAAAGACAUACUUGAGACUGGGUAAUUUAUAAAGGAAAGAGAUUUAACUGACUCAUAGUUCCACAGGGCUUGGGAGGCCUCACAAAACUUAGUCAUGGUGGAAAGGGAAGCAAAUACAUCCUUCUCCACGUGGCAACAGCAAGGAGAAGCGCUGAGCAAAAGGGGGAAAGCCCCUUAUAAAACCAUCAGAUCUCGUGAAAACUCACUCACUAUCACAAGAACAGCAUGAAAGGAACCACCUCCAUAAUUAAAUUACCUCCCACUGGGUCCCUCCCAUGACACAUGGAGAUUAUGGAACCUACAAUUCAACAUGAGGUUUGGGUGGGGAGACAGCCAAACCAUAUCACUAGGUCUCUUGUGCCAUACAAUUAGCCAAGUUGUGAAUGCAAAGGAAAACUUCUUGAAGAAAGUUAAAAGUGCGACUCCAGUAAACACAGAGAUGAUAGAAAAAAGAAGUGAAACAUUUUUACUGCGGAUACAGAGAAUGUUUUAGUAGUCUGGAUAGAAGAACAAAUCAGACAUACCGUUUCCUUAAGCCAAAACCUAAUCCAGAGCAAGGCCCUAACUCUCUUCAAUACUCUGAAUGCUGAGAGAGGUGAGAUAGUUGAAAACUAGCAGAAGUUGGCUCAUAAGGUUUAAGGAAAAAAGUUGUCUCCAUAACAGAAAAGUGCAAGAUAAAGCAGUAAGUAUUGAUAUAGAAUCUGCGGCAAAUUAUUCAGAUGAUCUAAAUAAGAUCACUGAUGAAGGCCACUACAGUACACAACAGAUUUUCUAUGUAGACAAAACAGCUUUCUGUUGGAAGAAGAUGCCGUCAGGGACUUUGACAGCUUCAAAGGAGAAGUUGAUGCUUGGCUUCAAAGUUUCAAAGCACAGGCUGAGUCUCUUGCUAGGGCCUAAUGGAGCUGAUGACUUUAAGUUGUAGCCAGUGCUCAUUUUCCAUUCUGAAAAUCCUAGAGUUCUUAAGAAUCUACUUUGCCUGUUCUCCAUACAUGGAGCAACAAAGCCUGGAUGACAGCUCAUAUGUUCACAGCAUGGUUUCCUGAAUAAAUGUACAUUAUUGACUCAUAAUACUCAUAACAGACUCAUUGUUGUGACCUACUGUUUGGAAAGAUUUUUUUCAAAAUAUUAUUGCUCAUUGACAAUGCACCUAGUCACCCAAGAGCUGUAAGGGAGAUGUACAGGGAAAUUAAUGUUGUUUUCAUGCCCAUAAAUCAAGCAGUAGUUUUUGGCUUUCAUAUCUUAUUAUUUAAGACAUAUAUUUCAUAAGGUUAUAGCUGUCAUAAAUUGCAAUUCUUCUGAUGGAUCUGGGCAAAGUAAAUUGAAAACCUUUGGAAAAGGAUUCACCAUUCUAGAUGCCAUUAGUAACAAUUGUGAUUUAGGGAAGAAGGUCAAAGUGUCAACCUUAACAGAAGUUUUGACAAGUUGAUUCCAGCUCUCCUGGAUGACUUUUAGAGGUUCAAGACAUCAGUGGAGCAAGUCACUGCAGAUGUGGUAAAAACAGCGCAAGAAUUAGAAUGAGAAGUGGAGCCUGAAGAUGGGACUGAACUGCUUCAUCUCAUAAUAAACCUCGAACUUAUAAAAAAUUGUUUCUUAUGGAUGAGCCAAGAAAGUGGUUUCUUGAGAUAGAAUCUACCCCUGGUAAAGAUGCUGUGAACACUGUUGAAAUGACAACCAAAGAUUUAGAAUAUGGUUUCUGCUUAGCCAGUUGAGCAGUGGCAAGAUUUGAGAGAACCGACUCCAAUUUUCAAAGAAGUUCUACUAUGAGUAAAAUGCUAUCAAAUAGCAUCACAUGCUAUAGAGAAAUCUUUGUUAAAGGAAAAGUCAAUUGAUGUGACAAAUUUCAUUGUUGUCUUACUUUAAAAAGUUGCCACAGCCACCUUAACCUUUAGCAACCACAAGUUUUAUCAGUCAUCAGCCAUCAACAUCGAGGCAAGAUAUUCCCCCCAGCAACUUACUGAAGGCUCAGAUGAUCAUUAACAGUUUUUAGCAAUAACAUUUUUAAAAUUAAGAUAUAUAUUAGACAUAAUGCUAUUGCAAACUUAGUAGACUACAGUGUAGUGUGAACAUAACUUUUAUAUACACUAGGAAAAGAAAAUGUGUGUGACUCACUUUAUUGAGAUAUUUGAUUUAUUGCAGUGGUCUGGAACUGAACCUACAAUACCUCCAAGAUAUGUCUGUAUAAGGAGAAAGGGGCAAAGGAUUUGAGAGUUUAAUGAGCAUGAUCUCAAUAAUGGGCUGUGGAAUAUAAGCUUUCCUCCUUCCUCCUGCAAAUGUUUAAUGAUAGCCUGUGAAACAUCAUGAGAAUUUUGGGGCUAGAGAAAUGAACAGACAUGGUUCUUGCUCUGAGAAAAGAAAUUAUAUUAUAGUCCAUUAUUUCCCAAACUGUAGUCAUUCAAAUGUCCCAUCAUAUUUUUGUUAUAUCUUUGUGCUCCCUGUAUUAUCAUAUAGUGUUUUUUAAAAUUAUGUACACUUUUAAGUCUUAAUAAACUUAUUUGAAAAGACAUUAUUUUUGGUCUCAAUGAAAAGCCAGUCUCAUUUGCCACAAAUAGAAGGUAAUUGUUAAACCCAAUACAAUUAAAACAGUAUAUAUAACUAAAUUCAACCCAGCUACUUUAUUUGCUGAAGGCUCCAAGCCUAGAUUUGCUGUCUGUUUGAUAAAAAAGGAGAUUAUUAAAUACGAAAGAGUUGUUAAGGACAUACUAGCACAAAACUUAGCCCUUCUCCAGUCAUUAGAAGGACUCAAGGGAAGGCAAAGGAGAAUGUUUUCCACUUAUCCUUAACUGUUAUGAAGUGCACCAUAUAGUACAACGUAAAAGCAACUCUCAUCUCUUUAGCGAUGCACAUCCCGUGUUUAAAGAAAUACAUAUUCAGUAGGAAGACAGCCAUACAAACAAGUACAAUAUACGUGGCAACGAUGAGAAACAGAUUCUAGCUACAGCAUAGAUUGUGAAGAGCCUUGAAGACCAU
rnacentral:lncRNA from 1 species